UACGGAGGGUGCAAGCGUUAUCCGGAUUCACUGGGUUUAAAGGGUGCGUAGGUGGGCUAGUAAGUCAGUGGUGAAAUCUCCAGGCUUAACCUGGAAACUGCCAUUGAUACUAUUGGUCUUGAAUCUUCCGGAGGUCAGCGGAAUAUGUCAUGUAGCGGUGAAAUGCUUAGAUAUGACAUAGAACACCGAUUGCGAAGGCAGCUGACUACAGGGGCAUUGACACUGAUGCACGAAAGCGUGGGGAUCAAACAGGAUUAGAAACCCCCGUAGUCC
rnacentral:rRNA from 1 species